GAACGCUGGCGGCGUGCUUAACACAUGCAAGUCGAACGAAGCACUUUUUCUUGAUUCUUCGGAUGAAGGAGAUAGUGACUGAGUGGCGGACGGGUGAGUAACGCGUGAGUAACCUGCCGAGAAGAGGGGGGACAACACACCGAAAGGUGUGCUAAUACCGCAUAUUGUCACUUAUUCGCAUGAUUGAAUGAUGAAAGAUUUAUCGCUUCUUGAUGGACUCGCGUCUGAUUAGAUAGUUGGUGAGGUAACGGCUCACCAAGUCGACGAUCAGUAGCCGGACUGAGAGGUUGAACGGCCACAUUGGGACUGAGACACGGCCCAGACUCCUACGGGAGGCAGCAGUGGGGAAUAUUGCGCAAUGGGGGAAACCCUGACGCAGCAACGCCGCGUGAAGGAUGAAGGUCUUCGGAUUGUAAACUUUUGUCUUUGGUGAAGAUAGUGACGGUAGCCAAGGAGGAAGCCACGGCUAACUACGUG
rnacentral:rRNA from 1 species